GAUGAACGCUGGCGGCGUGCUUAACACAUGCAAGUCGAACGAUGAAGCCCAGCUUGCUGGGUGGUUUAGUGGCGAACGGGUGAGUAACACGUGAGUAACCUGCCCUUCUCUCUGGGAUAAGCCUGUGCAACUGGGUCUAAUACUUGAUAUGACUUCUCAUCGCCUGCAUGGGGGAGGAAAGAAUUAUUGGUCUUGGAUGGACUCGAGGCCUAUCCGCUUGUUGGUGAGGUAAUGGCUCACCAAGGCCACGCCGGGUAGCCGGCCUGAGAGGGUGACCGGCGACAAUGGGACUGAGAGACGGACCAGACUGCUACGGGAGGCAGCAGUGGGGAGUAUUGCGCAGUGGGGGCAAGCGUGAUGCAGCGACGCCGCGUGAGGGAUGACGGGCUUCGGGUUGUAAACAUAUUUCAGUAGGGAAGAAGAGAGAGUGACGGUACCUGAAGAAGAAGCGCCGGCUAACUACGUG
rnacentral:rRNA from 1 species